UCCCUGGUGGCUCAGAUGGUAAAGAAUCUGCCUGCAGUGCAGGAGAUCUGGGUUCAAUUCCUGGGUCGGGAA
rnacentral:tRNA from 1 species